rnacentral:rRNA from 1 species
UACGUAGGGUGCGAGCGUUAAUCGGAAUUACUGGGCGUAAAGCGUGCGCAGGCGGUUAUGCAAGACAGAUGUGAAAUCCCCGGGCUCAACCUGGGAACUGCAUUUGUGACUGCAUGGCUAGAGUGCGGCAGAGGGGGGAUGGAAUUCCGCGUGUAGCAGUGAAAUGCGUAGAUAUGCGGAGGAACACCGAUGGCGAAGGCAAUCCCCUGGGCCUGCACUGACGCUCAUGCACGAAAAGCGUGGGGGAGCAAACAGG